ACGGGGUGCUCAUGACGGAGGAUUCGUCCAACGGAUUGAGUUACCUAGUGGCGGACGGGUGAGUAACGCGUGAGGAACCUGCCUUGGAGAGGGGGAUAACACUCCGAAAGGAGUGCUAAUACCGCAUGAUGCAGUUGGGUCGCAUGGCUCUGACUGCCAAAGAUUUAUCGCUCUGAGAUGGCCUCGCGUCUGAUUAGCUAGUAGGUGGGGUAACGGCCCACCUAGGCGACGAUCAGUAGCCGGACUGAGAGGUUGACCGGCCACAUUGGGACUGAGACACGGCCCAGACUCCUACGGGAGGCAGCAGUGGGGAAUAUUGGGCAAUGGGCGCAAGCCUGACCCAGCAACGCCGCGUGAAGGAAGAAGGCUUUCGGGUUGUAAACUUCUUUUGUCAGGGACGAAACAAAUGACGGUACCUGACGAAUAAGCCACGGCUAACUACGUGCCAGCAGCCGCGGUAAUACGUAGGUGGCAAGCGUUAUCCGGAUUUACUGGGUGUAAAGGGCGUGUAGGCGGGAUUGCAAGUCAGAUGUGAAAACUGGGGGCUCAACCUCCAGCCUGCAUUU
rnacentral:rRNA from 1 species